GAAAAGCAACAAUUUUCUGCCUGGUUCUUGGAUCCAUGAAUGUUCAUAACUUCUACGAAAAAAAUUAAUGAAGAAUUGUUUAGUAACAAAAAUCAAAUAUUGUGUAAAAUGAUAUUAAAGUAAUGGAAGAAACUUUUGCUUUUAUAAUUCAAAAGUUUAUUCACACUUGCGAUGCAGAAAUUUUCAACUGAUCCGAUUUAAUAUCAGAUUUAAUAUCAACAAUCUUGACAUUAUAUUUAUGAGAACAGGAUUUGAUUUAUCCAUUGGAAAUUGGGCCAUAUGAAUUGGUUGAAUACUUGGCCCAAUCCAGAUUUAUAUUUGAGUGUGCUGUACUGUAAAUCGGCUUUAAAUCCCAUGAAAUAGUAUGUUUGUUUAUUUUCUAUUUUCUUCUUACCAAAUACCAUAUUCACAGUUCGAUUCUGCAAUAAAAUAUUCAAUUGAAAAAAAAUAUUAGUCAUAAAAGUGAAAAAUGGUUCAGGAUGAUUCAUAAUUACUUACAUUAAUCACAAUGUCACGAUUGUGAGAUUUAAGUGAGAUGAUACCAAGAGGUUCUUGAAAUGAUUCUUCUGCAAAAUUGAUUAUCAUUUUAAUAUCACUCAUUUAUAUGAGUCAACAAAUAAUUAGAAAAAUGUAUUGCAGUUAUAAAAAUGUCUAUUUUAAUCAUUAAAAAAAAUAUAAUGAUCAUAAAUGAACUUACUGUGGAAUAAGAAAUCAAAAUAUUGAAUUCCUGCUUUUCUUCUCGCACCAAAACUUAAAUUCGUCCAACAUAUAUUACUGACGUUGGAAUUAAAUUCAAUUGAUGAUGACAAUAACAAAAUAGCGAAAUUGCUGUACAAAUAAGUUGAGUGAGUUGGCUGCUGAAUUACGUGUGAAACUCGGUAAUCUUGAUUGUUUCCUCCAUGAGAAAUAACGAUAUCCUUCGUGUUAACACUGAAAAAUAAGAGAACAAGUGUCAAAACAGCUCUUGGAUGAAGAAUUACUCCAAUAUUUAAAUGCCAAUUGUACAUUCUUUCUCUGAUGCUUACAAUCCACGUUUUAUAGUUUAAUGCAUUACAACAUUUUGG